UACAGAGGUCUCAAGCGUUGUUCGGAUUUACUGGGCGUAAAGCGUGCGCAGGCGGCUUUGCAAGACAGAUGUGAAAUCCCCGGGCUCAACCUGGGAACUGCAUUUGUGACUGCAUGGCUGGAGUGCGGCAGAGGGGGAUGGAAUUCCGCGUGUAGCAGUGAAAUGCGUAGAUAUGCGGAGGAACACCGAUGGCGAAGGCAAUCCCCUGGGCCUGCACUGACGCUCAUGCACGAAAGCGUGGGGAGCAAACAGG
rnacentral:rRNA from 1 species